AUGUCCAAUGAUUAAAUUUUUUCCACUGCUGUUCACAUCAUGAUUUGUUGUGAUUAAUGUAUGUGGAUGAGGACAU